UACGGAGGAUCCAAGCGUUAUCCGGAUUUAUUGGGUUUAAAGGGUGCGUAGGUGGCCUGGUAAGUCAGUGGUGAAAGACGGCAGCUUAACUGUCGCAGUGCCAUUGAUACUGAUGAACUUGAAUGUACUAGAAGUAGGCGGAAUGUGACAAGUAGCGGUGAAAUGCAUAGAUAUGUCACAGAACACCGAUUGCGAAGGCAGCUUACUAUGGUAUAAUUGACGCUGAGGCACGAAAGCGUGGGGAUCAAACAGG
rnacentral:rRNA from 1 species